rnacentral:rRNA from 1 species
AGCGGCGGAUGGGUGAGUAACACGUGGGUAACCUGCUUCUAAGCAGGGGAUAACAUUUGGAAACAGAUGCUAAUACCGUAUAAAUCCUAAAACCACAUGGUUUUAGGCUGAAAGGCGGCUUCGGCUGUCACUUAGAGAUGGACCCGCGGCGUAUUAGCUAGUUGGUGAGGUAAUGGCUCACCAAGGCAAUGAUACGUAGCCGAACUGAGAGGUUGAUCGGCCACAUUGGGACUGAGACACGGCCCAAACUCCUACGGGAGGCAGCAGUAGGGAAUCUUCCACAAUGGACGCAAGUCUGAUGGAGCAACGCCGCGUGAGUGAAGAAGGCUUUCGGGUCGUAAAACUCUGUUGUUGAAGAAGAACACGUUUGAGAGUAACUGUUCAGACGUUGACGGUAUUCAACCAGAAAGCCACGGCUAACUACGUGCCAGCAGCCGCGGUAAUACGUAGGUGGCAAGCGUUAUCCGGAUUUAUUGGGCGUAAAGCGAGCGCAGGCGGUUUUUUAAGUCUGAUGUGAAAGCCCUCGGCUUAACCGAGGAAGUGCAUCGGAAACUGGGAAACUUGAAUGCUGAAGAGGACAGUGGAACUCCAUGUGUAGCGGUGAAAUGCGUAGAUAUAUGGAAGAACACCAGUGGCGAAGGCGGCUGUCUGGUCAGUUAUUGACGCUGAGGCUCGAAAGCAUGGGUAGCGAACAGGAUUAGAUACCCUGGUAGUCCAUGCCGUA